rnacentral:rRNA from 1 species
GUGGGGAAUUUUGGACAAUGGGCGCAAGCCUGAUCCAGCAAUGCCGCGUGCAGGAAGAAGGCCUUCGGGUUGUAAACUGCUUUUGUACGGAACGAAACGGUCCUGGCUAAUAUCCGGGGCUAAUGACGGUACCGUAAGAAUAAGCACCGGCUAACUACGUGCCAGCAGCCGCGGUAAUACGUAGGGUGCGAGCGUUAAUCGGAAUUACUGGGCGUAAAGCGUGCGCAGGCGGUGCUGUAAGACAGGCGUGAAAUCCCCGGGCUCAACCUGGGAAUUGCGCUUGUGACUGCAGUGCUGGAGUGCGGCAGAGGGGGAUGGAAUUCCGCGUGUAGCAGUGAAAUGCGUAGAUAUGCGGAGGAACACCGAUGGCGAAGGCAGUCCCCUGGGCCUGCACUGACGCUCAUGCACGAAAGCGUGGGGAGCAAACAGGAUUAGAUACCCCAGUAGUCC